rnacentral:rRNA from 1 species
GACGAACCGUGCGAACGUUGUUCGGAAUCACUGGGCUUAAAGCGCGCGCAGGCGGUCCUUUAAGUCUGAUGUGAAAGCCCACGGCUCAACCGUGGAGGGUCAUUGGAAACUGGGGGACUUGAGUGCAGGAGAGAAGAGUGGAAUUCCACGUGUAGCGGUGGAAUGCGCAGAUAUCAGGAGGAACACCGGUGGCGAAGGCAGCUCGCUGGGACGUGACUGACGCUGAGACGCGAAAGCGUGGGGAGCAAACAGG